rnacentral:rRNA from 1 species
AUGGCGCUCAGCCUUCGCGCCGCCGCAUCCCUCGCCGCCCCGCCGGCUCACCUGCGUCCGCGCCGACGGGCCACCUCUAUGGUACGCGCCACUGUGUCCCCUCCUCCGGCGCUCGACAGCAGGCGGCGCCCGCAGAACGUGUCCGGCGAGUUCUUCGUCGAUCACCGGUGCAUCGACUGCGCCACCUGCAGGUGGAUGGCUCCGGAGGUGUUCAACAGAGUCGAUGACCAGUCCGCCGUGGCGGCGCAACCCACCUCCGGGGAAAUCAGAACCAAGGCACUGCAGGCCUUGCUCUCUUGCCCUACAGGCUCUAUCCACACUGACAAGCCUACAAAAGACAUUCUCCAAGUGCAGAACACAUUCCCUCUCCCCAUCGACGACGAUCUUCCCGGAGUUUACCUCUGUGGUUACCAUUCUGAGAACUCAUAUGGAGCAACAUCUUACCUUAUAGUUCACCCGGAAGGGAACAUAAUGAUUGACAGCCCAAGGUAUACGCCGAAACUAGCGAACCAGCUUGAGAAGCUCGGCGGAGCACGUUACAUGUUUCUGACUCACAUUGAUGAUGUGGCGGAUCAUCGGAAAUGGGCCGAGCGGCUAAAGUGCGAGAGAAUCAUUCAUUCAGGAGAUGUGGAGGAUAUCACUGCUGAUGUCGAGUGGAAACUUACUGGAAAUGGCCCCUGGAACAUUGGAACUGAUUUUGAACUUAUCCAUACCCCAGGGCAUACCGAAGGCUCAGUCUGUUUGUUGUACAAACCUCUGAAGGCACUAUUUACUGGUGACCAUGUAGCAAAAUCAGAAGAAUCAGAUGAUCUAAACCUCUUUCUGAUGUACAGUAAGCAAUCAGUGGGUGUGCAACUGGACAGCAUCAGGAAGUUACUGGACGUAGAUUUUGAGUGGUUUUUGCCUGGGCAUGGCUACCGAAUCCGAUAUGAAGAUGUAUAUGCCAAGAAUUCAGCUAUUGAGGCUCUCCUUGCAGACUACACAAACUAA